UACGUAGGGUGCGAGCGUUGUCCGGAAUUAUUGGGCGUAAAGAGCUCGUGGGCGGUUGGUCCCGUGGGAUGGGAAAGCUCGGGGCUUAACCCCGAGUCUGCAUUCGAUACGGGCUAGCUAGAGUGUGGUAGGGGAGAUCGGAAUUCCUGGUGUAGCGGUGAAAUGCGCAGAUAUCAGGAGGAACACCGGUGGCGAAGGCGGAUCUCUGGGCCAUUACUGACGCUGAGGAGCGAAAGCGUGGGGAGCGAACAGG
rnacentral:rRNA from 1 species